UACAGAGGUCUCAAGCGUUGUUCGGAUUCAUUGGGCGUAAAGGGCGCGUAGGCGGGAUGGCAAGUCGGUCGUGAAAUCCCUCGGCUCAACCGAGGAACGUCGAUCGAUACUGCUGUUCUUGAGGAUUGCAGAGGAGACUGGAAUUCCCGGUGUAGCGGUGAAAUGUGUAGAGAUCGGGAAGAACAUCAGUGGCGAAGGCGGCCUGCUGGGCUGUUGCUGACGCUGAGGCGCGACAGCGUGGGGAGCAAACAGG
rnacentral:rRNA from 1 species